GGACUACCAGGGUUUCUAAUCCUGUUUGAUCCCCACGCUUUCGUGCCUCAGUGUCAAUAUUCGUGUAGCCAGCUGCCUUCGCAAUUGGUGUUCUAUGUCAUAUCUAAGCAUUUCACCGCUACAUGACAUAUUCCGCUGACCUCCACGGUAUUCAAGACUGAUAGUAUCAAUGGCAGUUCCCAAGUUAAGCUCGGGGAUUUCACCACUGACUUACCAACCCACCUACGCACCCUUUAAACCCAGUGAAUCCGGAUAACGCUUGCACCCUCCGUAUUACCGCGGCUGCUGGCAC
rnacentral:misc_RNA from 1 species